CCUACGGGUGGCAGCAGUGGGGAAUAUUGGACAAUGGGCGAAAGCCUGAUCCAGCCAUGCCGCGUGUGUGAAGAAGGCCUUCGGGUUGUAAAGCACUUUCAGUGGGGAAGAAAGCCUUGGGGCUAAUACCCUCGAGGAAGGACAUCACCCACAGAAGAAGCACCGGCUAACUCCGUGCCAGCAGCCGCGGUAAUACGGAGGGUGCGAGCGUUAAUCGGAAUUACUGGGCGUAAAGCGCGCGUAGGCGGUCUGAUAAGCCGGUUGUGAAAGCCCCGGGCUCAACCUGGGAACGGCAUCCGGAACUGUCAGGCUAGAGUGCAGGAGAGGAAGGUAGAAUUCCCGGUGUAGCGGUGAAAUGCGUAGAGAUCGGGAGGAAUACCAGUGGCGAAGGCGGCCUUCUGGACUGACACUGACGCUGAGGUGCGAAAGCGUGGGUAGCAAACAGGACUAGAUACCCGUGUAGUC
rnacentral:rRNA from 1 species